UGCCCUCCCUCCUCCGACGCCGGAGGCCAUCAGAAACGCGCGUGCGCGCCCGCGCAACCACCACCACAACCCCUUUCCUAUCCACGUUCUCCGGCCUCGCUCCUACUGUCUCCCGGUCGGCCGCCCACCGGCCAUCGUUCGUCUCAUCCCAUGGGUGUUGGGGCGAUGGAAGCCUCUUCUCCGGCCGGCGACGACGUCGGCGGCACGGGCAUCGAGGACCUCCCGGCGGACGUCCUCGCCCUCGUGCUCCGCCGCCUGGAUGGCGCGUCGCUGGCGGCGGUCGGCUGCGCGAGCUCCGGCCUCCGCAGCCUCGCCACCGACCCGGCCACGUGGCGGGCGCUCUGCUUCGCCAUGUGGCCCUCCGUCCGCGACCUGCCCUGCACAGGCCGCGUCGACGGCGGUCACCGGGCGCUCUUCGCCGACGCCUUCCCCUUCCCGUGCUCGGUCUCCCCUCCCACGCCGCCGCAGCCCCUGCCCGCGCGCCUCGUGUCGGCCGUCGACCUGCGCCACGCGGGGGUCUGCGUCCUGUCGCGCGUCGUGGAGACGGACGCCGCCUCCGACUGGUUCCUGGGCGCGCCGUUCCGCGUCGACGCGCUGCUGCAGGAGGGCUUCACGUCGCCGGCCGCCGCGGCGAUCGCGCCGGCCGACCUCGAGCUCAGCUGGGUCCUCUUCGACCCGGCCACCGGCCGCGCGCUCAACGCGUCCAGCCGCCGCGCCGUGGCCGUCGACCGCAAGUGGCUCACGGGGGACACCGUGGCGCGCUUCGCCGUCGUGCUCGGCGGCGGCGUCGCGCUCGACGCCGCCGUCACGUGCGACGAGCGCCGCGGCCACGUCCGGGAGGUCAGCCUGCGCGUCGAGGACGCCGACGGCGCCGGCGUCAGCGGCAGGGACGGGCUGGCCGCCGUCGCCGCCGCCAUGGCCGCGCCCAGGCGGGGGUGCCGCGGCGCGGCGGAGGACGUGGCCAGGCUCAGGUACGAGGAGUUCGUCAGGGGGAAAAGGGCGCGCAAGGAGUCGAAGGCCAGGCGCGAGGGCAUCCUUGAUCUCUGCUGCUCUGGCGUCGGCGCCGCCGCCUUCCUCGGCUUCCUGGUCAUGCUCACGUUCCGGUGAACUCGUCCGAUUCGGCCCGCCCGGGCAUUCGGGCAUCGCGAACACCACAACCACUAGAGAGUGCCGUUGACAUGUACAGUGUAGUUCAGGGAAUGUGAAUAUGAUUGGGUUGUAGGUUAUACGGUCGCCUGUCAAACAACAGGGAAAGUCAGCAUCAUAUCUCUCUUUUUUUCUCCUUUUCCAGAAAGCGAA
rnacentral:misc_RNA from 1 species